rnacentral:lncRNA from 1 species
AAGCAAUUUGCUCAUAGCCAUAGCUUUCUUGUGAAAGUAGGAUAUUAACCCAGGUGUCUUGGUGCUGGAGAACAGAACUGGCCAGAGUCCAUCCUGUCUCCCACCGGCAUCCCAUUACGAAAUGAACACAGAAAAGGCAGGUCUGCAAUGCCAACAUCUAGUAUCUAUCCCAAAGACCAGGGAGAAAGGAAGGAAAGAUUCUGGUUCUGUCCUCUUCCCCAAGGCAAGGCUGGCUGCCCUACCAACAGAGGCAAAGAGAAGAGUGUGCAAGGCUGGCUGCCCUCCCAACAGAGGCAAAGAGGAGUGUGUGUUGAAAUAUCCAUUGAAUCCCUGAGACAACUGGAUCCUGGCCCAUUGAAUCAUAAACUCAGCAGAAUCUCACAUCAUAACCCCAAAUGACCUGUUACUCACCAUGUGGCCCAGCUGUCUUCAAACUCACCAGCCUCCUGCCUUAGCCUUCUAAAUGCUUGGAUUACAGGCAUGACCCACCAUAACUGGCUUUGUUUUAGUUUCAGAGAAGAUGAAACUGAUGUGCGUCAAAAAGUUAUGGAGGCUGGGAAGACCUAGAAUGUGGCAUCACUAUUUGCUGAAAUUUUUAAUAUAAUGCCUCUUAGCCUGGUUUGGAGAAAACGUCACAGAGAGGCACCAUUUGUUGUGGUUUUACAUGAAAAUUUUCUGACCCUGAACCUGGUUUGAUGGAAAUCAUUUGCUGAGGUUAUUUAGAAAAUUGUUACCUCAAAAAUGACCUAGGGGUCCUUAGAAUAAUAACACACAGAAGAAUAGCCUCAUUUUUCUGUUGGGCCCAGGAAACCAUGCCGAUUACCGACCGAGCUCUCAAUGGAAAAAUGCAGUCGGCGUGAACCACGCACGAACACAGCAGAGAAAGAAGAAAACACACACCACGAGGAACCCUAAUAGGACAAUACAUUAUAAGCCUCAUGGUACAUCCACUUGGUGUGCUGGGAGAGUCAGGAUGAGGACCUGAGAAGAACAGCAGCUUGAACCUGACUUCAUUUAACAGCCCACUGCCCUCUUGCCAAGAACCCAUCACAGACCUUCCCAGAAGAGAGGGAUGAGCCUCACCUAUGAAUAAGUCCUCAGAAACUCAAAUUUGAUUCUAAUGGAUUGUUUUCUCAGAAAGACUGAGCAUGUCCCCCCACAUCUCUGUCAUUUCCCACAGUAGUAACCUCUGCAGAUGCCACAUAGAAAACAAAACAAAACAAAAAAACAUGAGGUUGGUGGGCAGAUAGGCAGGGUAUAAACAAACAGCCUUGUAACCCAGAAGCUGUGUGAUAUACAGUAAACUUCACAACACUGAAAAGAUGUCCUAUCUGUUAAAAUGGGGUAAUAACAACUACCCGAAUGUUUAGGAAUAGAACUUCAAUAAAUGAUACAUUUUAUAGUACAGCAGACCAUCCUGUAAAGGUUUCAUCCUUCACUGUGGUGAUAAAUAUCCCAAACCACAUUGAAAAGCAUUGCAUCUACAUUUAUCUACACUGUAACUGUACUGUAAAUCAUGGGGGAGGGGAGAAUCAUAAAAACACCACCUGUCACCGUGUCAUUAAAGCAAGUUGGAAGUGAUACUUACAGAAACACAGCAAGAGCACCCCCAGUCACACAGUUCAAUCUCUUAGCAAGCGUUUUCUUUCUAGCCCAGUGGUUCUCAGUUUGGAAUUUUUGGCACUGCCUAGAGAUAGUUUUGUUGUUAAAACUGAGAAAAGAGCCGGGCGUGGUGGCACACGCCUUUAAUCCCAGCACUCAGGAGGCAGAGGCAGG